CUCAUAUUUUUUAGGGCAAAUGACUUUAACAUGGCUUCUAAGACAACUGCUGAAGAAAGGGCACAUGAUAACCCAAAAGCAUGGUGAUGUGUAGUUUCACAUAACAGUGUCUGAGGGUUUCCUGAAUAAUUGAUUACAUAGA